CAGGCCUAACACAUGCAAGUCGAACGAGAAAGCUCCCUUCGGGGGGUGAGUACAGUGGCGAACGGGUGAGUAACACGUGGGUUACCUGCCCUUGAGUGGGGAAUAACCCCGGGAAACUGGGGCUAAUACCGCAUACGACCCUUCGGGGUGAAAGCUUUAUGCGCUCGAGGAUGGGCCCGCGGUCGAUUAGCUUGUUGGUGGGGUAAUGGCCUACCAAGGCUUCGAUCGAUAGCCGGCCUGAGAGGGCACACGGCCACACUGGCACUGAGACACGGGCCAGACUCCUACGGGAGGCAGCAGUGGGGAAUUUUGGACAAUGGGGGCAACCCUGAUCCAGCGACGCCGCGUGAUCGAUGAAGGCCUUCGGGUCGUAAAGAUCUUUCAGCGGGAAAUAUUAUGAAGGUACCCGCAGAAGCAGGAGCGGCUAACUACGUGCCAGCAGCCGCGGUAAUACGUAGGCUCCAAGCGUUGUUCGGAAUUACUGGGCGUAAAGCGAGUGUAGGCGGUUUGCCAAGUCGAUUGUGAAAUCUCCCGGCUCAACUGGGAGGGUGCGGUCGAUACUGGCAAGCUAGAGUACGGAA
rnacentral:rRNA from 1 species